rnacentral:rRNA from 1 species
AACUAGGAUGUUGGCUCAGAAGCAGCCAUACAUUCAAAGAGUGCGUAACAGCUCACUGGUCGAGAGGUCCUGCGCCGAAAAUGUCCGGGGCUGAAACACCACACCGAAGCCGCGGAACCCGUAAGGGUUGGUAGAGGAGCAUUCUUAGGGGAGGGAAGCAUUACCGGAAGGGGAUGUGGACUGCUAAGAAGAGAGAAUGCCGGAAUGAGUAGCGAGAGCAAGGUGGGAAUCCUUGCGGCCGAAUAUCCAAGGUUUCCAGAGUAAAGCUGAUCUGCUCUGGGUAAGUCGGGGCCUAAGGAGAGGCAGAGAUGCGUAUCCGAUGGACAGCAGGUUUAAGAUUCCUGCACCCCUUGUUAUCAGAACUGCGGGGACACGGGAAGGGAAGCAGAGCCGGGAAUGGAAAGCCCGGUGCAAGCGAAGUAGUCGCAGGGUUGGAAAAUCCGCCCUGCAUGAGACGAAGGCGUGAUGCGGAGCGAAAUGAAGUAGUGAAGCUGCGGCCCCUUCCUGUCGAGAAAAGCCGCUAUCGUGUAGCAAGGGCCCGUACCGUAAACCGACACAGGUGGAUGAGGAGAGGAUCCUAAGGCCGGCGGGAGAAGUGUUGUUAAGGAACUCGGCAAAAUGACUCCGUAACUUCGGGAGAAGGAGUGCUGCGCAAGCAGCCGCAGAGAAAUGGCCCAAGCAACUGUUUAGCAAAAACACAGGUCUAUGCGAAACCGAAAGGUGAGGUAUAUGGGCUGACGCCUGCCCGGUGCUGGAAGGUUAAGGGGAGAGGUUAGCGCAAGCGAAGCUUUGAACUUAAGCCCCAGUAAACGGCGGCCGUAACUAUAACGGUCCUAAGGUAGCGAAAUUCCUUGUCGGGUAAGUUCCGACCCGCACGAAAGGCGUAAUGAUUUGGGCACUGUCUCAACAAUGCACCCGGUGAAAUUGAAAUACCAGUGAAGAUGCUGGUUACCCGCGCCAGGACGGAAAGACCCCAUGGAGCUUUACUCCAGCCUGAUACUGGGAUUCGGUAUUGCAUGUACAGGAUAGGUGGGAGGCUAAGAACUUAUGGCGCCAGCCGUAAGGGAGCCGGUGUUGGGAUACCACCCCUGCAGUACUGGGUUUCUAACCUGCGCCCGUGACCCGGGCGGGGGACAAUGUCAGGCGGGGAGUUUGACUGGGGCGGUCGCCUCCGAAAGGGUAUCGGAGGCGCUCAAAGGUUCCCUCAGAAUGGUUGGAAACCAUUCGAAGAGUGCAAAGGCAGAAGGGAGCUUGACUGCGACACCGACGGGUGGAGCAGGUACGAAAGUAGGACUUAGUGAUCCGGUGGCAUAAAGUGGGAUUGCCAUCGCUCAACGGAUAAAAGCUACCCUGGGGAUAACAGGCUUAUCACUCCCAAGAGUUCACAUCGACGGAGUGGUUUGGCACCUCGAUGUCGGCUCAUCGCAUCCUGGAGCUGGAGCAGGUUCCAAGGGUUGGGCUGUUCGCCCAUUAAAGCGGUACGCGAGCUGGGUUCAGAACGUCGUGAGACAGUUCGGUCCCUAUCCGGCGCGGGCGUAGGAUAUUUGAGAGGAGCUGUCCUUAGUACGAGAGGACCGGGAUGGACUGGCCGCUGGUGUAUCUGUUGUCUUACCAAAGGCAUAGCAGAGUAGCCAAGCCGGGAAGGGAUAAACGCUGAAGGCAUCUAAGCGUGAAGCCCCCCUCAAGAUGAGAUAUCCAUACUCGAAAGAGUGAGAGACCCCUUAGAGACGAUGAGGUAGAUAGGGCAGAGAUGGAAGUGCAGCGAUGCAUGGAGUUGACUGUUACUAAUCGGUCGAAAGCUUGACCU